AUUGAACGCUGGCGGCAGGCCUAACACAUGCAAGUCGAGCGAGCGGCGGACGGGUGAGUAAUGUAUGGGGACUGCCCGAUAGAGGGGGAUAACUACUGGAAACGGUGGCUAAUACCGCAUACUAUCGGAUAACCCAUAUGGGAUUAGCUAGUAGGUGGGGGAAAGGCUCACCGAGGCGACGAUCUCUAGCUGGUCUGAGAGGAUGAUCAGCAACUGUGGGACGGAGAAACGGCCCAGACUCCUACGGAGGGAGCAGUGGGGGAUAUUGCACAAUGGGCGAAAGCCGGAUGCAGCGACGCCGCGUGGGGGCUGAAGGCUUUCGGGUUGUAAACCUCUUUCGCUAUCGAACCGGUAGGUGGAGAAGAAGCGCCGGCUAACUACGUGCCAGCAGCCGCGGUAAUAC
rnacentral:rRNA from 1 species